UGUUGCUGGCUCUUCGGAGCGAAGCUCGUUCGUAAUACAUUAGCAUUUCUAAUUCGAAUUCGGAUUGACUCAGUGUAAUAGACUAUUCGCUGAGGACACUUUUUCGAAAGUGGCCGUAUUCAAUACAAGAGAAGCUUCUAACCCCUCUAGUCAUUUUUGAUUUAGACCUCAAAUCAGGUAGGAUUACCCGCUGAACUUAA
rnacentral:misc_RNA from 1 species